UAGGUGGCAAGCGUUGUCCGGAUUUACUGGGCGUAAAGGGCGUGCAGCCGGGCUGACAAGUCAGAUGUGAAAUCCCGCGGCUUAACCGCGGAACUGCAUUUGAAACUGUCGGUCUUGAGUACCGGAGAGGUCAUCGGAAUUCCUUGUGUAGCGGUGAAAUGCGUAGAUAUAAGGAAGAACACCAGGGGCGAAGGCGGAUGACUGGACGGCAACUGACGGUGAGGCGCGAAAGCGUGGGGAGCAAA
rnacentral:rRNA from 1 species